GCGCGCUUGCUCUGCGCUUCCCCGG
rnacentral:piRNA from 1 species